AUUCACCAUAUAAAUAUACUCGAAUUUCACAGUGAAGAAGGCAGCGCUACCUCCUUUGUUUGAUAAGAGAGAAUCUUUUAGAGCCCUAGUUUUUCAAUUGAUUUGAAUUUGCUUUGCCCCCUUUCCUUCCUCACUACCAAUCAACAAUGGCGGACGCUUUCUGGAGGUAUGGUGACAACAGGCAGCCGGCAGCGUCGGUUCCAGCUCAGCUUGUGGCGAAACGGACUCGUUCCGAGUUUGAGAUGCCAAGUGAACAAGUCACGACAAGCUACUAUGUUCCUAGCAAUGAAAGGGCGGGAAGUGCUGUCGCCGCUACAGACAUGGACUAUGUCAAUGCAUCGUACGAACGCUACUUGCGUGAUUUGAAAGUCAGAGUGCAAUUAUAUGGUGGCCAAACUGGAAGACCUGCUACUGCUGGGCUUGAUGGUCUUCAUGAUAUAGAUGAUCAAAGGGUCCUAGGACUGAGGCAAUCAGGCCGAGAAGCUGCUGCACGAAGCUGGUUAAUGGGAGUAGGUGGGAGACCUGAAAUUUCACUCCCUCCUGACACUAGCAGCAUGUUGUUUAUGGACGGCUUGCCUGCGAACUUUACUCGCACAGAAGUGGAAAGCCAGUUAAUGGGAGUGCGAGGGAGACCUGAAAUUGCACUACCUCCUGACGCUAGCAGCACGUUGUAUGUGGAGGGAUUGCCUGCGAACUGUACUCGCCGAGAAGUUUCUCAUAUAUUCCGUCCAUUUGUGGGCUAUAAGGGAGUGAGGCUUGUGACAAAGGCACCGAGACAUCCUGGGGGGGAUCCUGUGGUUCUUUCCUUUAUUGAUUUUGUGAGUCCAGCUCAUGCGGCAACAGCAAUGGAUGCCAUACAAGGUUAUUUGUUUGAUGAGCACGAGCGGGAUUCUGCUCACUUAAGGGUUCAGUUUGCUCGCAAUCCUCCUAGUACAAGGGUAGGUGGUGGGCAUCGUGGCAAUCAUUGAGAUUGAUUUGACAGGACCCACUGAUUGUGCAGGUUUACAGUUUGUGAGUAUCACAGCUUCGGAGUGUUGCGACAUACUUGCGGAGGCUUUGUUUAGGAUCACUGGGUUUAUAUCAAGUGUGUCUAUUGGAGGGAAGACUGUGUUGUGCAUGAAGCGUGCCAUUUGGUUGGAGACUAUGAUGCUUGGCUGUGGCAGAAUGAUGCGCUCUCCAACGGCAUUUCCACCGGAGAAGCUGGUAAACAAAAUGGUGUCUCCACUCUUCUCCGCUCGCAGAAAAGAUACAUUACAAAAGGUUGAAGCUCUAGGUGGAUGCAGUCAAAUGCAGGUAAAGAAAACAGCUAUUUCUGAGCAGAUAAAUGAGGGGACAAAGUAAGGUGAAAAAGGUUCCUUUUGACUUUUGAGGAUCAACACUUGUGCUCUGAUACACUUUUCUUUGCUGAAGCGCAUUCGAUUUAUUGAUAUAUACUCCACGAGACUAGUAACUGAAUGAUGCAAUGUUGUCACUAGCACCAUUUCUAAAGCCACAUUGCUGUUUAAGCUAAAAAGAAGUGGCACGUGUACAUAACCAGUGUGUAUACGCUUGCUAUCUCUUUGUAAGUAGUUUAGAAGGCUUCCGGCUGGCCGCCUCUGUUUUCCGGGAGAUGCAGCAAUAUGUGAAGGUUCUAGUUAGGUAGGUGUAAAUUUGUAGCUGACAUUUUGUAUUGUUGGUGGCUGUAAAUAGGUGUCUCGGUUGCUUAUUUUGCAAUUGAUGUGUAUACACAUGUAUGUUUACAUUUUGUAUUUAUUAGUGGAUGUAAAUUAGCAAUUA